UGGGGAAUUUUGGACAAUGGGCGCAAGCCUGAUCCAGCAAUGCCGCGUGCAGGAUGAAGGCCUUCGGGUUGUAAACUGCUUUUGUACGGAGCGAAAAGGUCUGCCCUAAUACGGUGGGCUCAUGACGGUACCGUAAGAAUAAGCACCGGCUAACUACGUGCCAGCAGCCGCGGUAAUACGUAGGGUGCGAGCGUUAAUCGGAAUUACUGUGCGUAAAGCGUGCGCAGGCGGUUAUGUAAGACAGAGGUGAAAUCCCCGGGCUCAACCUGGGAACGGCCUUUGUGACUGCAUAGCUAGAGUACGGUAGAGGGGGAUGGAAGUCCGCGUGUAGCAGUGAAAUGCGUAGAUAUGUGGAGGAACACCGAUGGCGAAGGCAAUCCCCUGGACCUGUACUGACGCUCAUGCACGAAAGCGUGGGGAGCAAACA
rnacentral:rRNA from 1 species